GGGCAGCACGAUGUAGCAAUACAUUGGUGGCGACCGGCGCACGGGUGAGUAACACGUAUCCAACCUGCCGAUAACUCGGGGAUAGCCUUUCGAAAGAAAGAUUAAUAUCCGAUGGUAUAUUAAAACCGCAUGGUUUUACUAUUAAAGAAUUUCGGUUAUCGAUGGGGAUGCGUUCCAUUAGUUUGUUGGCGGGGUAACGGCCCACCAAGACUACGAUGGAUAGGGGUUCUGAGAGGAAGGUCCCCCACAUUGGAACUGAGACACGGUCCAAACUCCUACGGGAGGCAGCAGUGAGGAAUAUUGGUCAAUGGACGAGAGUCUGAACCAGCCAAGUAGCGUGAAGGAUGACUGCCCUAUGGGUUGUAAACUUCUUUUAUAUGGGAAUAAAGUAUUCCACGUGUGGGAUUUUGUAUGUACCAUAUGAAUAAGGAUCGGCUAACUCCGUGCCAGCAGCCGCGGUAAUACGGAGGAUCCGAGCGUUAUCCGGAUUUAUUGGGUUUAAAGGGAGCGUAGGUGGAUUGUUAAGUCAGUUGUGAAAGUUUGCGGCUCAACCGUAAAAUUGCAGUUGAAACUGGCAGUCUUGAGUACAGUAGAGGUGGGCGGAAUUCGUGGUGUAGCGGUGAAAUGCUUAGAUAUCACGAAGAACUCCGAUUGCGAAGGCAGCUCACUAGACUGCAACUGACACUGAUGCUCGAAAGUGUGGGUAUCAAACAGGAUUAGAUACCCUGGUAGUCCACACAGUAAACGAUGAAUACUCGCUGUUUGCGAUAUACAGUAAGCGGCCAAGCGAAAGCAUUAAGUAUUCCACCUGGGGAGUACGCCGGCAACGGUGAAACUCAAAGGAAUUGACGGGGGCCCGCACAAGCGGAGGAACAUGUGGUUUAAUUCG
rnacentral:rRNA from 1 species